GAUGAACGCUAGCGGCAGGCUUAAUACAUGCAAGUCGAGGGGUAGCAAGAUUGUAGCAAUACAAUUGUUGACGACCGGCAAACGGGUGCGGAACACGUACACAACCUUCCUACAAGUGGGGAAUAGCCCAGAGAAAUUUGGAUUAAUACCCCGUAACAUAGCGAUGUGGCAUCACAUUGCUAUUAUAGCUUCGGCGCUUGUUGAUGGGUGUGCGGCUGAUUAGAUAGUUGGCGGGGUAACGGCCCACCAAGUCUACGAUCAGUAGCUGAUGUGAGGGCAUUAUCAGCCACACGGGCACUGAGGCACGGGCCCGACUCCUACGGGAGGCAGCAGUAAGGAAUAUUGGACAAUGGACGCAAGUCUGAUCCAGCCAUGCCGCGUGAAGGAUUAAGGUCCUCUGGAUUGUAAACUUCUUUUAUAAGGGACGAAAAAAGGUCUUUCUAGAUCGUCUGACGGUACCUUAUGAAUAAGCACCGGCUAACUCCGUGCCAGCAGCCGCGGUAAGAC
rnacentral:rRNA from 1 species